CCCAACCAACCUGUAGACGUGUUCUGGUUGACGCCAGUCGAUGGACUCACUAGCAGGAAGGUGGCCUUGAACAACAAGCAGCUUGACCUUGUCAAUAAUUCGCUGCCGGAGCUGAAACCUUACAGGACAGAAGAAAACACCAUCACCUUCCCCGGGAAGUCAUUCGGGUUCCUCGUCUUCCCAGAGGCUAACGUAGCCUCCUGCAGUAGCCAGUAAUGACGUUCAGAGAAUGAGAGAACAAACCUGUAUUGUCUGCGCUUGCUAUGGAAAUAAAUCUUAAUAUUAUUGAUUCACUUA